rnacentral:rRNA from 1 species
GACGGGGGGGGCAAGUGUUCUUCGGAAUGACUGGGCGUAAAGGGCACGUAGGCGGUGAAUCGGGUUGAAAGUGAAAAGUCGCCAAAAAAGUGGCGGAAUGCUCUCGAAACCAAUUCACUUGAGUGAGACAGAGGAGAGUGGAAUUUCGUGUGUAGGGGUGAAAUGCGCAGAUAUCAGGAGGAACACCAAUGGCGAAGGCAGCACUCUGGGACGUGACUGACGCUGAGACGCGAAAGCGUGGGGAGCAAACAGG